UGAUCCUUUUGGAGACACGUCCACAGGCUGUGAGCUUAGAGAAUAAGAGGGAGGAGAAGAUCCACCUGGCCAUCAGACUACAGGAGGAACCGUGUUUAUUAUUUGUAGAAGUUUCAUUAAUCCGGAAUCAUGCGUCCAGCUGUGCUAACCGCUGUCCUGCUCUCGGUGCUCUUCAUCAACGCCGUGACGUCACUGAACCUCGGCAAUCUGCCGCUGCGUGAAGAGCGAGCUCUCUUCGAUGCGCCACCAGAUGUUGCGGUUCCGGUGGCUCCCGCUCCACUGAACAUGCGGGCUUCCCGAGCCGCCGACCCGAACCAGAGAAACAUUCACAAAGUUGGAGAUGAUUCUCAAUUACUCUGCAAAGGAACAGUUUGCAAUGGGUAAUGAUAAUUAGACGGGGGGGGGGGGAGCUUUGUUUGAUCAUCAUCUGCUGAUGUGUUCCUUCUCUCUGUAAAGCUGCUCCGUGUUUCUAUAACCCGCCAACACGAGCUCCAAUAAACGCUUCAGCAUUCAA